rnacentral:rRNA from 1 species
AUGAACGCUGGCGGCGUGCCUAAUACAUGCAAGUCGAGCGAACAGACGAGGAGCUUGCUCCUCUGACGUUAGCGGCGGACGGGUGAGUAACACGUGGAUAACCUACCUAUAAGACUGGGAUAACUUCGGGAAACCGGAGCUAAUACCGGAUAAUAUAUUGAACCGCAUGGUUCAAUAGUGAAAGACGGUUUUGCUGUCACUUAUAGAUGGAUCCGCGCCGCAUUAGCUAGUUGGUAAGGUAACGGCUUACCAAGGCAACGAUGCGUAGCCGACCUGAGAGGGUGAUCGGCCACACUGGAACUGAGACACGGUCCAGACUCCUACGGGAGGCAGCAGUAGGGAAUCUUCCGCAAAGGGCGAAAGCCUGACGGAGCAACGCCGCGUGAGUGAUGAAGGUCUUCGGAUCGUAAAACUCUGUUAUUAGGGAAGAACAAGUGUGUAAGUAACUAUGCACGUCUUGACGGUACCUAAUCAGAAAGCCACGGCUAACUACGUG